AUUGAACGCUGGCGGCAUGCUUUACACAUGCAAGUCGAACGGGGUGAGGAGCUUGCUCCUCAUCUAGUGGCGAACGGGUGAGUAAUACAUCGGAACGUACCGUGUAGUGGGGGAUAACGUAGCGAAAGUUACGCUAAUACCGCAUACGAUCCACGGAUGAAAGCAGGGGACCUUCGGGCCUUGUGCUAUACGAGCGGCCGAUGUCUGAUUAGCUAGUUGGUGGGUAAAGGCCCACCAAGGCAACGAUCAGUAGCGGGUCUGAGAGGAUGAUCCGCCACACUGGGACUGAGACACGGCCCAGACUCCUACGGGAGGCAGCAGUGGGGAAUUUUGGACAAUGGGCGCAAGCCUGAUCCAGCCAUGCCGCGUGUCUG
rnacentral:rRNA from 1 species